AGCCGCCGCGGUAAUACGAAGGGUGCAAGCGUUAAUCGGAAUUACUGGGCGUAAAGCGUGCGUAGGCGGUUUGUUAAGUCUGCUGUGAAAUCCCCGGGCUCAACCUGGGAAUGGCAGUGGAUACUGGCAAGCUAGAGUGUGUCAGAGGAUGGUGGAAUUCCCGGUGUAGCGGUGAAAUGCGUAGAGAUCGGGAGGAACAUCAGUGGCGAAGGCGGCCAUCUGGGACAACACUGACGCUGAGGCACGAAAGCGUGGGGAGCAAACAGGAUUAGAUACCCCUGUAGUCCCUGUCUCUUAUACA
rnacentral:rRNA from 1 species